GGUUACCAUGGAAUCAUCAUUCCGCGAGGUGGGGCGCAUGUGGCAGCUACGCUCGGACAACUUCGUAGUAUCAAGGAGUUUUCUUCGCAGUACGCGCUCAUUCGUUGAUGGGGUUGUUGUGAACAAGAAAAAGAGGAAAUAUGACUACAAAACUUCUCAAUUUAACGAUAUUCUAUUUUUUACAUACCUAAGUAUGUAUGAAGAGGAUCUGGCAAACAAUCAGCAAACUUUCCAAAUCCUCCAACAAUACUGUCUUGAGUUUCAAGAAGGAAUGCUCUAUUCUUAUCAGGAUCUGAUAAUUUAUUAAUAUCAAGCAUUUGUAGAGUUGCACCCACCCAAAAACUAUAGCAAGUAUCAGAAGGCUUUCCAGGUCGUCCGUGAAAGCCACUAUCUUGUCUCAUAAGACACCAUCUUUUUAGUCUAUUUAAUUGAUCAUUUGUCAAUACAUUAUGAAGUUCAUUCAUAAGGAAUAGACUAGCUACAGCACAAUAUGUAGAUCCUCCAUGUGAUUCAAGACCAGGUCCUUGGCCCAUUGCUCCAUCAUAUGACUAUAAUCAUUGUUGAGAUAUUGUGCUAUGAUAAAAUUAAGUAGACAAAGCCAAUUUUUGUUAAUACUCUUUAUAUGUAAAAAUAUAAAAACAAAAAGAUAAAAACUUACAAUGCUUUUUAAAAUAUAGUCAAUUGCUUUUGUUUUAUCAAUGCCUGACCAAUCAUUUAAAAUUAUAGAUAUACAACAAGCACAAUAAAGAAAUCUCAUAUCACUUUCACAUCCUGUUAUAAUAGCUGUAAAUGAUCCAUCUGGAUUUUGACAAGCUCGCAUUCCUUCAAUAAUGGAUUUUUUAUCAACACGACUUAAAUCAUCACCAAGAAUUAAAAGGAAGGCUGAAAACCUGAUCGUGGUCCAGCUCCAGUUACUUGAAGCCUAUAGAUCCAGUUAAUUGCUUCUAAUUUUGUUUCUUCGCUAAGAUCAUUCAAACAAUUUAAUAUAUCUAAUCCUGAUAUAGCAAAAAACGCUACUGCAAGUCUAGAACAGUCAAAUUCUGCUGAACAAUUGGGCAUUAUUUGUAAUAACCUCUGGAAAUAUUUAGCAUGCUUUUUCGUUGCUAAUUGCGAUGGCAUGUUGUAUCUUGUUUUUGUAUGAUUAAAAAAAUAAUACUUCAAAUAUAUGCCGAUGUAUUGAAGGAGAA